GACGAACGCUGGCGGCGUGCUUAACACAUGCAAGUCGAACGAUGAAGCCCAGCUUGCUGGGUGGAUUAGUGGCGAACGGGUGAGUAACACGUGGGUGAUCUGCCCUGCACUCUGGGAUAAGCCUGGGACACUGGGUAUAAUACCGGAUAUGACCUCGGGAUGCAUGUCCUGGGGUGGAACGUUUUUCGGUGAAGGAUGCGCCCGCGGCCUAUCAGCUUGUUGGUUGGGUAAUGGGCUGCAAAGGCGACGACGGGUAGCCGGUCUGAGAGGGCGACCGGCGACACGGUGACUGAGACACGGCCCAGAGUCCUACGGGAGGCAGCAGUGGGGAAUAUUGCACAAUGGGCGCAAGCCUGAUGCAGCGACGCCGCGUGAGGGAUGACGGCCUUCGGGUUGUAAACCUCUUUCACCCAUGACGAAGCGCAAGUGACGGUAGUGGGAGAAGAAGCACCGGCCAACUACGUGCCAGCCGCCGCCGUAAAAC
rnacentral:rRNA from 1 species